rnacentral:lncRNA from 1 species
GCAGUUACAAAAGUCACAGGAGAAAUUGCGCCUCCACGGCCGCACCAGCGCCCCAAAGUCUCGCAGAGGCCGAGCCAGGGCCCUCACCUCGCGCAGGGAGAGGAGCAAAAGGUCGGGGAAGAGCCUUGCGACUUCCUUCGGCACUGCUUGGGUUCCACAGAAGACGCGGCGACAACGAUCACCGUCAUCACUUCUCACUCUCUGCCUUUGCAACAGCCACCCCCGACGACUCUGGCCCCACCCGCUGCUGCAGCAUGAGGUCAUCGUCAGCCAAUCCCUACGCGCCCGACAGAAAUCACCAGACGCCGAUUGGCUGCCGACACCGCCUCUGCCUCUCCCCACUCCUCUUACGGAGCACCCAAGGUCGUGCUGCGGGCCAAGAAGACGGAAACCGCCAUUCCGGGGAAAGGCCCCCAAAGCCAGAUCCGUAAUCGCUGUGUGAUUUUAGUGGAGAACCCUGUUUUGUUCCUUGGCCUCCCCUUUUCGGUUCGAGAAACCAGCUCUGUCCCUCCCUCGUUUAAUCACCGCCACACAAACGAACUCCCGCUCCCCGCCCAGCACACUGUCCCGCGGCGGGGAAUCCUUCCCCGGUGCUAAGAAGUAUAGGAGGCGGCGGCAGCGACUGCACCGGCAGCGGCAACGGCAGCUUUUACCCCAUACACGGUGGCAGGGAGGCGGCGCUGACGAUGGCUGCAAUUUUUUCUGCGGCUUCUCCCCCCGACCUCUUGCGUUUCUCGCUCCUCCAUCGAGACAGCGCGGGACUCGCCAGCUCCGCUUUUAUCCGGUGCCCGGAGCCUGCGCACUGGAGCCUCCUCAGCCACUAGUGGGCGUCGAGUGACAAUCCGACCGGGCUCACCCUGAGCUGGCAGGCCAGGCCGGGGGGAGGGGGCUGCCGGGACUGAGGCUGCUUGGGGGGUAGGAGCAAGUGCAUCACCUUAGGAAGUGAUGGGAGGGGGGUCGUCCCCGUCCCUGCUGUCAUCCUUCUACCCACUAGUAGCAUCCUCACGCUCACCUACAUCCAGGCUUGAGGGCUACUCGGGGACAACGGGUAAAGAGCCAAGCCCACCAGCUAGCAAGACCUCCCCAACCGUCGGCGGAUGGAUGAAUGCACCUGUUGUGGGAAAGACGGAGUGUCUGGCCAGCUCGCGGCCUCUAGCGUGACGUCUCCAC